AAUGAACGCUGGCGGCAUGCCUAACACAUGCAAGUCGAACGGGAACAUGAGGACUCUUGCCUCUUGGCUGCCGAGUGGCGGGGGGGUGAGUCAUGUGUGGGAAAUAGCUUGAUGAAGGGGGUUAACUACUGGAAACGGUACUUAAUACCGCAGAUCUAUGGAAGACCAAAGAGCGGGAGUUUGAGGCGCUUUUCCAUCGGCUGAGCCCAGAUGGGAUUAACUAGUAGGUGGGGUAACGGCUCACUGAGGCGACGAGCCCUAGCUGGUCUGAGAGGGUGACCCGCCACACUGGAACUGAGACACGGUCGAGACUCCUACGGGAGGACGCAGUGGGGAAUCUUGCGCAAUGGGCGAAAGCGUGAUGCAGCAAUGCCGCGUGUAUGAUGAAGGCCUUCGGCUUGUAAAGUGCUGUAAGCGGGGAGGAAGGAAGGAAAGUUUAUACCUGUGCUUAUUGACGUUACCGGGAGAAGAAGCACCGGCUAACUCCGUG
rnacentral:rRNA from 1 species